AUUGAACGCUGGCGGCAGGCCUAACACAUGCAAGUCGAACGGUAACAGGAAGAAGCUUGCUUCUUUGCUGACGAGUGGCGGACGGGUGAGUAAUGUCUGGGAAACUGCCUGAUGGAGGGGGAUAACUACUGGAAACGGUAGCUAAUACCGCAUAACGUCGCAAGACCAAAGAGGGGGACCUUCGGGCCUCUUGCCAUCGGAUGUGCCCAGAUGGGAUUAGCUAGUCGGUGGGGUAACGGCUCACCUAGGCGACGAUCCCUAGCUGGUCUGAGAGGAUGACCAGCCACACUGGAACUGAGACACGGUCCAGACUCCUACGGGAGGCAGCAGUGGGGAAUAUUGCACAAUGGGCGCAAGCCUGAUGCAGCCAUGCCGCGUGUAUGAAGAAGGCCUUCGGGUUGUAAAGUACUUUCAGCGGGGAGGAAGGGAGUAAAGUUAAUACCUUUGCUCAUUGACGUUACCCGCAGAAGAAGCACCGGCUAACUCCGUG
rnacentral:rRNA from 1 species